rnacentral:miRNA from 10 species
GAGUAUUCUUGGGUAAAUAUCA